UGAACUAACACACCUGUCAUGUGCUCAAGAGAAGUUAUAAACUCAGAGCCAAAUUUUCCCUUGCAUUCUGCUGCUGCAUUUUGCUUAUGAGUCAAGGAGUUUGGCAGGCAGGAAGGAGCAUAAUUUUGCUGUGAAUUGAGCAGGAAAGACUUGUGAUACAGGCUGGGAUAAAGUUUUUUAAGAACAGAGGAAAAUGCUGGGUCAGGUGCCCAUAAAGAACCUGUACAAUGUAGAAAACAAGUGAAAAUUCUGCAGGCACCAUGGUUUAAAGGAUAAAAUUGAGAGUGCCUAAAAAUGAUAAGGAAAGAAUUUAAAUAAAAAGUUUUGGAAAAAGCAAGGAGAUAUCAAUAUAGUUGUGGAAGAAAAAAAUGCUGCAAAAAUUUUAUAAAGUCUUAGAAGAGUAUAAUUGAAUUUUGGGGCUAUCUAAUACAAGAAGUAAACUUGGGGGAUAAGUGAUGUCAUGAAGAUCAUGAAAAAAGAAAGACAGGCUCAGCUGUAGUGUCUGAAGGCUCUCUGGAAAGAUGGAAGUUGAAGCCAGACAGGCAGCAUUGGGAAAGGUUUGCAUUAUUUUAUCUUUUUCAUUUGCAGUUGCUACAGUUGUGUUUGAUUUGCAAGGAGGAGAGAUGGUAAAGUGCGUUCAGUGACUGGCAGAAAAAAGGCCCCAACAGUACAAGUUCAACACUUACAGUCAGAAUGGAGAGGGCAUAAAUGCCUCAGUAUAAAAUUACCUUAUUCAUUUGGGAAAAAAAUGUGGGUUGUAUUCAGUUUCUUUGAGUUUUUACAGCAAAACUUUUUACAGCAAAACUUUUUACUUUUCUAGAACCAAAACGUAUUGGUUUAGUUUUGUUCCCCGUCAGCCUUGGAGCAGUUCAAGACUAAAAGACCGAAAGAGCAAACUGAAAAAAAUGUUUUCCCACCUUCUUCUUACCUUUUGACCUUUUUGGAGAAGAAAAGCAAAGCGUGUCUAGGGUUGAGACACCAAAGAGAUGAGCUGGGUGAGAAAGAGACACCAAGAGAACAGAGGAGGCCACCGGAUUUUCAGUGAAGACAGAAGAAAAGCUGAGGAUCCAAAUACAGGAAGGUGGUGUUAACUAAAGUAAGUGAAGAGGUUACAACUGGUGUGACUGCAAAGAAGGGAGAGAAAAGGAGAAAAUGAGAUGCUCCAUUAGAAAACACCAUUCAGAAGUGACAGAUUAAGCUACUUGAAAUGAAGGCAAACGAGUGUUUUUCCAGACUGUGUGAAGAUCCAUAUUAGAAAAGACUCCAGUUUCCUCCCCCACCCCCGUUCCCUUUGAAACUAAAACAAAAAAAUAGAACUUCAUCAAAACCCUGAAGUAGGAGAAAAAUCCAUCUGCUCACCUAAUGAAGAUGAGUGGUACAAGUCUGUGCUGCUGACUGUCCCCACCUCCAUCUCUUUAAAGCUUAAGCAGGACAAGAGACAAAGAAGAGCUGCUCUAACAAGAGGGUUUUGGAACUGAAGAAAGACCUGAAGAAAACAAGCCUUGGAUUGCAUCCACUCAAGCCCAGAAGACAGAGUUGAGUACAG